CGAAACUCCGCAAUGCGCUAACGCGCGACGGGGUCACCCCGAGUGCCAGCCGCUGAGGCUGGCUUUUCCCCAGUGUAAAAAGCUGGGGGAAUAAGCGGGGGGCAAGUUCUGGUGUCAGCCGCCGCGGUAAUACCAGCUCCGCGAGUGGUCGGGGCGUUUAUUGGGCCUAAAGCGUCCGUAGCCGGCCCAGUAAGUUCCUCCUUAAAUCCCAUGGCUCAACCAUGGGGCUGGGAGGAAUACUACUGGGCUAGGGGGCGGGAGAGGCCGAGGGUAUUCCCGGGGUAGGGGCGAAAUCCUAUAAUCCCGGGAAGACCACCAAUGGCGGAGGCACUCGGCCAGAACGCGCCCGACGGUGAGGGACGAAAGCCAGGGGAGCAAAAGGGAUUAGAGACCCCUGUAGUCCUGGCUGUAAACGAUGCGGGCUAGGUGUUGGCUGAGCUUCGGGCUCAGCCAGUGCCGCAGGGAAGCCGUUAAGCCCGCCGCCUGGGGAGUACGGCCGCAAGGCUGAAACUUAAAGGAAUUGGCGGGGGAGCACCACAAGGGGUGGAGGCUGCGGUUCAAUUGGAGUCAACCCCGGGAACCUUACCAGGGGCGACAGCAGGAUGAGGGCCAGGCUAACGACCUUGCCCGACGCGCUGAGAGGAGGUGCAUGGCCGUCGCCAGCUCGUGCCGUGAGGCGUCCGGUUAAGUCCGGUAACGAGCGAGACCCUCGUCUCCAGUUGCGACCAGGACCCAUUGGGUCCUGGGCACACUGGAGAGACUGCCAGCGCUAAGCUGGAGGAAGGAGGGGGCUACGGCAGGUCAGUAUGCCCCGAAACCCCUGGGCUACACGCGGCCUGCAAUGGUGGGGACAAUGGGUUCCGAACCCGAAAGGGGGAGGUAAUCCCAUAAAACCCCACCUCAGUUGGGAUCGAGGGCUGCAACUCGCCCUCGUGAACGUGGAUCCCUAGUAACCGCGUGUCAUCAUCGCGCGGUGAAUA
rnacentral:rRNA from 1 species